rnacentral:sRNA from 1 species
GCUGGGCAUGGUGGUGUGUGCCUGUAAUCCCAGCUACUCUGGAGGCUGAGGCAGGAGAAUUGCUUGAACCCAGGAGGUGGAGGUUGCGGUGAGCCGAGAUCGUGCCACUGCACUCAGCCUGGGUAACAGAGUUAGACUCUGUCUCAA